AUUGAACGCUGGCGGCAUGCUUUACACAUGCAAGUCGAACGGCAGCGCGGGCUUCGGCCUGGCGGCGAGUGGCGAACGGGUGAGUAAUGCAUCGGAACGUGCCCAGUAGUGGGGGAUAGCCCGGCGAAAGCCGGAUUAAUACCGCAUACGACCUGAGGGUGAAAGCGGGGGACCGAAAGGCCUCGCGCUAUUGGAGCGGCCGAUGUCGGAUUAGCUAGUUGGUGGGGUAAAGGCUUACCAAGGCGACGAUCCGUAGCUGGUCUGAGAGGACGACCAGCCACACUGGGACUUAGACACGGCCCAGACUCCUACGGGAGGCAGCAGGUGGGAAUUUUGGACAAUGGGGGCAACCCUGAUCCAGCCAUGCCGCGUGGGGGAAGAAGGCCUUCGGGUUGGAAACCGCUUUUGUUCGGGAAAAAAUACUCUGGGCUAAAACCCCGGGGGGAUGACGGUACCGGAAGAAUAAGCACCGGCUAACUACGUG
rnacentral:rRNA from 1 species